AAAACCUACCAAAUCUACAAUUUUGAAGAUAAAAGAAAACUAAAAACGCCAUUCCGUAGGGAAUGGCCAUAUCUAUCAGAUCACCAAAAUUUUAUAGCCAGAAUAAAGAAAUUAAUUUGCUGUGGCUAAACCCAACCUGUCCAGCAGCUUUUGUUGUUCCUUUCACAUUCUCUCAUUCACACUCUGCUUCUGCUUCACUCGGCCCCUGCCUAUUUAAAAUUUGACAAAACACUGCUGAGGUGCAGAUGCACCAUUGUCCCAAUGACCAGUUUUGGUGGCUGUUUACGCCAAUUAGCCAAAUUAUGGCCCGUAGCAAUUAGUAUUUUGUAUAAGCAAACGUACAUGUAAAUGUACAUUUGUAUGUAACCUUGUUUUUUUCGAAUUUAACAUUUUUUUCAUCUUUUUUCAUCUACAUCACUUCUCCCGCCAACACGCUCUUAUAGCUCGCCCUUUCCUCUAGACACUAACCAUAGUUAGUUAGUUAUAGUUACUAUACUGUAUGGUUAGUGCCCUAGAUGCACAC
rnacentral:lncRNA from 1 species